rnacentral:lncRNA from 1 species
CCGCUCCCGCGGGGCCGGCCGCCCGCCUGCCCUGCUCGAUGACUUCCGGCCUCCCCCCAAUCCCGCUCCCCCUCCAUCCCACCGGCCCUCUCCCCGCUGGCUCCUCCCCGCCGCGCAUCAGGCCACUGGAAGGGGUGGGGAGCCGUGGUCCCGGAUGGUUUCAGCCGGAGCUGCGUGUUGGGGACCUUUCUUUUAAAAAUAGCGGAGCGUGUUUUUUAUUAAAAGUACAGCUAGUUGAUGCAGCAACUCCGAGUUGCAAUAACAGAUACAGUGUUCGAUUUAAAAAAUAUGUUUUUCCUGUUUCCUGUGCCUUAUCCUAUAUUUACUAUAUUGGAGAAACAAAAAAAUGAAUAUAACAAGAUCCAUGUCCUCAAGGCGGUUAAACCCCACAUCCUAACGUUCAUAAAGCCGUUCCACCGGGAGUUGUUGCUUGCUAUCUACCCGCAAACCCUAUGCGAAGAGGCGUGGGAUUUGCAGCCAGAAUACAGAACUCUUCUAAAAUCUAGUGUUGGGACAGAGAUGGAGAUACAUCAUGAUAGUCAGAAUAAAACAAAUGGACUUGGUGUGUUUGGGGACUGACAUCUGCUGAGGCAGUGGGAGCAAUACGUGUCCAAGACAGUUUUACCCACAUGACCCAGAUGUCUGGGCCGGGUCAGAACUGGGGAUUCUAAUCAGGACCCAACAUGGACAGGGCUAGAGGAGGCCAUGAUCACGGCAGCCAAAGGCCCCAGAAGCUAAGGUGUCUCCACAAGUCAAGCGCAGGUCCCAGCUCCUUCCUACAGAAAGAUGCGGACUGUGGAGGUUCCCUCGGGGACAAGACCAACAAGGACAUAGACUGAGGAGUGUCUUCAUUGCACACGAGGUCACUGACACGCACCAGGACCUACAGCGGCCGUGGUCCACUGCAUUCAUUGACUGAUGAAUCCCAGCUCAGCCGCUGCUAAGGAAAUAAGAUGGAGGGAAAGAACCUGGGGGCUGGGUCUUUGCUUCUGUCCGUGCAGAAACGUCUGGGUUUCAGUGGAAUGAUACGGUUUCCAAGAAUGAUUAAGAACAAGCUGCAUAAAAAUUAUGACACGUAAUUUUCUGGACUAUGGACUAAAAUGAACUGCUCCACCGAGACGCUCUUAGAAUAACCCUUCACUACCAUUACCCCAGAAGGGGCAGUUUCUCUGUCCGAGUUGUCCUGUGCCUCUACUUUGCCACACGUCCCAUGGUUUGCUGCAUCCAGCUGCGAGACGUCCUCUGACACUUCUCCAUGGUCUGAAUGCACGGCGUGGUGCAAACUACGAAGAGUCCCUGGAAAUC